AAGGCUAAAUACUCUCCAACGACCGAUAGUGAACCAGUACCGUGAGGGAAAGGUGAAAAGAACCCCUGUUAGGGGAGUGAAAAGUACCUGAAACCGUAUGUCUACAAGCAGUGGGAGGGCUAUGCUCUUCGGACAAUGCCCGACCGCGUGCCUUUUGCAUAAUGAGCCGGCUAGUUACUCUCUGUAGCAAGGUUAAGCGAUAAGCGAGCCGCAGCGAAAGCGAGUCCUAAUAGGGCGUCCAGUUGCAGGGAGUAGACGCGAAUCCUGGUGAUCUACCCUUGGCCAGGGUGAAACGCAGGUAACACUGCGCGGAGGCCCGAACCAGUAUCGGUUGAAAACGGUUUGGAUGAGCUGAGGGUAGGGGUGAAAGGCUAAUCAAACUAGGUUAUAGCUCGUUCUCCCCGAAAUAGCUUUAGGGCUAGCCUCGGGAGUUUACAUGUGGCGGUAAAGUACUCGAUGGACUAGGGGCCUUAUUCGGUUACUGAAUCCAACGAAACUCUGAAUGCCAUCUGUCCACAUCCCGGGAGUCAGACUGUGGGGGAUAAGCUCCAUAGUCGAGAGGGAAACAACCCAGACCGCCAGCUAAGGUCCCGAAGUGCAUGCUAAGUGGGAAAGGAUCUGGAGUUGCUGAGACAACCAGGAGGUUGGCUUAGAAGCAGCCACCCUUUAAAGAAAGCGUAAUAGCUCACUGGUCAAGCGACUCUGGGCCGACAAUGUAACGGGGCUCAAGCAUGUCACCGAAGCUGCGGCUUUCCGAUUCCUUCGGGUUCCGGGAGGGGUAGGGGAGCAUUCCGUUGGGCGCCGAAGUCACAUCGUAAGAAGUGGUGGAGCGUACGGAAGAGACUCUGCCGGCACAAGUAGCGAUAAAGUCCGUGAGAAUCGGACUCGCCGAAAGUCUAAGGUUUCCUGAGGAAGGUUCGUCCGCUCAGGGUUAGUCGGGUCCUAAGCCGAGGCCGAACGGCGUAGGCGAUGGACAGCAGGUUAAUAUUCCUGCACCAGGUAAGGGACGUUUGUACGAUGGGGUGACGCAGUAGGAUAGGCAUAGGCACAACCGGAAACGUGCCGUGGCGACUUAGGCGGACUUCUUAGGCAAAUCCGGGAAGUCAUAACACCGAGGGUAGCCAGGAAGUGCGGCUUCGGCCAAACCAACUUGCUGAUUCCACACUGCCAAGAAAAACCUCUAAGGAGUCUCUUGGCUGACCGUACCGCAAACCAACACAGGUAG
rnacentral:rRNA from 1 species